rnacentral:rRNA from 1 species
CGAGACUGUGAAGUGGAGCAAAUCCCAAAAAUAAACGUCUCAGUUCGGAUUGUAGUCUGCAACUGACCCUANAUGAAGCUGGAAUCGCUAGUAAUCGCGAAUCAGAAUGUCGCGGUGAAUACGUUCCCGGGUCUUGUACACACCGCCCGUCACACCAUGGGAGUCAGUAACGCCCGAAGCCGGUGACCCAACCAAACGGAGGGAGCCGUCGAAGGUGGGACCGAUAACUGGGGUGAAGUCGUAACAAGGUAAC